GAGGGGGGUGAGAGGGAAUGAGAGAAUGAAGGAGCGGGGAAAUGGGCGGAUGAGGGGGAUGAAGUAGUGAAGGAAUGAAGGACUCAGGGAAUGAGAGGGAUGAAGGAAUGAAGGGAUGACAGAAAUGGUGGUAUGAAGGAGCGAGGGGGACGAGAGGGAUUGAGGGAAUGAAGGAGCGAGGGGAUGAGAGGGAUGAGGCAAUGGCGAGAUACAGGGAAUGAAACGGAUGAGGGCAAUAAGGGAUAUGAGGGGAAUGAGGGAGGUGAAGGAAUGAGGGGUUGCAGGGGAUGAAGGCUGGGGUGGUUGCAGGGUUGAGGGGGACAAGCAGGGUGUGAACCGGGAGGGUGAGGGUGGCAGAGAUGAGGGGCAGUGGGGAAUGAGGGAUGAGGGGCUGAAGGGGAGCAGGGAAUGAGGGGCUGAAGGGGAGAAGGGAAUGAGGGGCUGAAGGAGAGCAGGGAAUGAGGGAUGGGGGGCUGAGAGCGGUGAGGGAGUGAUGGGGCAGAGAUGCCUGUGAAGGUCCUGAGGGGGAUGAGGGAUCCCGAGGGCUGCCCAGUGAGAGAUGUGGGCCCCCAACCAGCCCUGGAGGAGCUCUCUGUGCAUCCAGUGCUGCCAUCAGACUCCUCCUGCCCUCCACAAGCUUCGCCCAGCCCAGCUCCUGGUAUCAGCUUGGUCAUCUCCAGUCCCGUUGCCAGGGCAGUGCAGUGGAUUGCAGUGUGUGCCUCCUUAUCAAGGGAAAUGCAUCUGCUACGGCUCUGAACUUCCUGGACAAGACGUCCCAAAUUGGGGGGUUCUCUCCUCUUUCUCCCUCCUUUUGCCUGACAAAAAUGCCUCAGGAAACACAGCUCCAGCCCUAGCCCCUUGA
rnacentral:lncRNA from 1 species